CAGAUAGCUCAGUCGGUAGAGCAGAGGACUGAAAAUUCUCGUGUCGCUGGUUCGAUUCCGGCUCUGGG
rnacentral:tRNA from 2 species